ACAAACUCGGGCACAACUGAGGUGCGAUACACGAUCUGAAUCUCAAGAGCCAUUUUGCUCCUAUAACAUCAUCGCCACACAGAACCUCAACACAUAAAAAUUUACCAAGCCAUCUCACGACUCAUACGGUGCAAUACAUCAUUACCUGGAAUAGUUGAAGACAAAAUAACACCCCGACCGUUCCUUCAUAAGGAACACUCGCUGAAACGAACACAACUGGCCAGAUAUAAAGCCCGGUUCACAUGUAAAUCAAUCCACUAAUCUCAACUGAUUUUUGACUAUACCAACUUGGCUAAUAACCUUUCAAAGGUCCAUAGUAACUCUCUUUUCCUCAUAACACAUCAGAAUAACUGGCAUAACCGGAGCAACCUCCUCAGUUCAUAAUCCAAUAAACAAGUGCCCUCCAGCCCUAAAUUCUCAAAUUAAUGAUAUUUUCACAAUCC
rnacentral:lncRNA from 1 species